GCGAAAAAAAGGCACAGCACACCAACAUCAAAACCUCAUCCCAACUGUGAAGUAUGGUGGUGGGGGCAUCAUGGUUUGGGGCUGCUUUGCUGCGUCAGGGUCUGGACGGAUUGCUAUCAUCGAAGGAAAAAUGAAUUCCCAAGUUUAUCAAGACAUUUUGCAGGAGAACUUAAGGCCAUCUGUCUACCAGCUGAAUCUCAACAGAAGAUGGGUGUUGCAACAGGACAAUGACCCAAAGCAUAG